GAGUUAUAUAUAAUAUGUAGUAUAUAAUAUAUAGAGUUCCAGUUAAAAAUUAGCCGAGUCCCCGAUCGCGGAGACGAUUAAAAUGAACGUUGCAAUGAACUGUUAAAGAUCCGACGUGUCCUAUUUCAGAUUCAGAUAAACGCGUCGAGCGGUCGGCUGCCACAGUCGGAUGCCUCGUAUCCUGUCGUACCUCUAGCGUGGUCUAAAAAUACUGUCAACAGAAGAAAAUGGCAUUAUUAGCCGCGAACGAUUCCGAAAGCACGGCCGACGUUCGAUUUCUUGGAUCCGUUUCGUCGAGCAGCCUUCGUCGGCGCACGAUAAUACGGCGAAAAAUUGUACAACUCCGGCAGCCAAUUAAAUAACACGGGAGACCGGCGCAGGAUCGAGAUAACGCCACAGGAAAUUUCUUUCGUUCGUUAACCGAUACGCAGACACGACAUAUGCGACAGGAUCUCCUCGAUAGCCCCCAGGAAAUACCGUAAGACGUCUGCUUUUUUUCGCCUAAAAUCUGUUACGAGCCGAAGACUGGCCAGUUAUAAAUGACCGAGAUUCGUUUGGACUUUCUUGGAUUUUGCAAUGGUUGCGAUUGAUAGCCAAUGCUUGUUUCACCCCCCGGGAGCCACGGGGUAGGAUUUCGUGGACCAACCGAUGCUUAUUUCAUCAAAGGGUCGCCACUAAGAAACAGAUUUGUGGACUAGCUAUUACUUAUUUCAUCAAAGAGCCGCCACUAGGAUAAAUGGAAUUAUUGUUUGUCUCGUAACGUUAAAAAGAGAAAUGCAGAACAAGGAAGUGAAAUAAUUGACUCGAAGACUCUAUAUACAGAUGAAAAGGUAACGUUCGCGAUGCGAACAAUUAUUACGAACCGCUGUUAAACGAUCGACGUUUUCCGCCUAGCAACAAAUUAACUUGCUACGGUAAAAGAUGUUUACCUUAUCGUUGCGCACAUAUGGCAAGCAUCUGCGGUUCUGGCUGCCAUUUGCACUAACGAGUAUCGUAUCGCGAAUGUAAAGAAGCGUCGCGUUUUAAUUAACUCGUCGCUUUUAUAGAAUUUCUGAGAGUAACAUAUUCAAUUUCGCACGA